GGGAGAUAAGAGAAUAGAAAAGUAUUCUGAAAUGCUAUGUCAUGAAAUAAUAUUUUGAUUAUAUUUGUACAGUAAUACUGUGUGGCGAAUACUGUACUGGGUCGGAACACUACGUUGCCUAGAAAUUCAGUGACGACGGAGAAUAUCAUGUUAUUGAUCAGAUCUUGUUUUUUCUCAUUUAGCACAGUUUAAAGGUUGCUUCUGUCGUUUUUUUUUCUUCUACAGUGUUAUGUUGUUCUCAGUGGUGUUUUGAUGUGUAUGGUUUCCACACUGUGCAGCUUCGAACAGUGUUCCGGGCGGUGUUCUGGAUGCAGCUGGUUUUUGUCCGGAAUGGGAAAGGCAGUAGAAAUGGUCAUCCAUAAACUGAAGUUAAUGAAAUUCCCUGGUGAUGUUAAUAAUAAAAAGCUCAUCAGCAGCAGUAGCAGCAGCCCCCGGUGCAUCAGCCACCAAUCCCAAGCAGACACGUCUUCCCGCGCUCGACCCCUGAAGUUGCAACACCUCGUCCCUUGAUUCUGCCAAUACUCUUGCAACUCUGGCGUCCUUGAACACCUGUUGCACGGAACUGUGGACCCUGAGCCAGAACCUUCCUGAACGUGGUUACAGCUGACCCAGGGUCGUUACACAAUAUUCAUAUUUUAGGCAGAAAUGACAAAGGCACUCAUUUGGAUAUAAAACAGUCAAAUAUGAACGUAAAAUGCAGAGUGCUGCAGGCUUGUGCAGAGUAAACCCUGUAAAUGCAUGUAUCAUUAUAACACUGACUCAGGUGCUGUGAGAAGUGUCUCCUGCCCAAUAAAAUAAAAACGAUGACCGUGUCAAAGGACUUGAACUUUCUUUAUUUUACUAUCCACUGUUUUUACUCACAUCACUUUUGAACAUAACCUUUUUUAGAAGCUUUAAAUUGCUACACAGUUCUUUUUGCUUACAAGUACCAGUGAAGCCCAUUUUGUUUCCUGUGUGUGGGCAACUGUGAACAGGAAAGAAGAAAUCUGAGCUGACAAAGACACUCAACUUGAUAUAAAACAGUCAAAUACAAACGUAAAAUGCAAAGUGCUGCAGGCUUGUGCAGAGUAGCGUGAUCCGCUUCUGUGAUUUUAAAGGGAGUUUGAGCUGGGCCCGGGUGCAGACCGGGUAGUGCUGGCUAAUCAAGUGGGAGACAAAAAGGCAGCAAAUCAGGAGAAACUGACUUUCCAAAAAGUCAGCUGUAGCUGUAGCACUAGAGCUUGCGUUUGCUGUGGUUUUGAUGAAGACUUUUUCUUUUACCACACCUCCAUUUCUUAACCCAGUAUUUUGAAACAAUUAGAUUGAAUCGUUUUUGCUAUGUGACCGCAGUGUUUUGCUAUAUUCACAAACAUUCAUUAUUAGUAGUAUUGCUCAUAGUGCAGCGCUAUUGCAGUCACUCAAAAACUGCAGCAUUCUCUGAACAACUGCAGAUCUGCAAAGUCCCAAACACUUACUCAAAAUGAAAAUGAAAGUUCCUUUAUCAGUU